GAUGAAGAACGCAGCGAAAUGCGAUACGUAGUGUGAAUUGCAGAAUUCAGUGAAUCAUCGAAUCUUUGAACGCACAUUGCACCUCUCGGUAUUCCGGGAGGUAUGCCUGUUCGAGCGUCAUUUGUACCCUCAAGCUCUGCUUGGUGUUGGGUGUUUGUUCCGCCUCUGUGUGUGAACUCGCCUCAAAACAAAUGGCAGCCGGCGUACUUGUUUCGGAGCGCAGCACAUUUUGCGAUCCAGAUCAACGUACAGCGGCAUCCAAGAAGCCUUAUUUAACGCUCUUGACCUCGGAUCAGGUAGGGAUACCCGCUGAACUUAAGCAUAUCAAUAAGCGGAGGA
rnacentral:misc_RNA from 1 species